rnacentral:tRNA from 3 species
GCGGUGGUAAUUCAGCGGUAGAAUGUCUCCUUCCCAAGGAGAAUGUCGGGGGUUCGAUUCCCCUCCACCGCUCCA